rnacentral:rRNA from 1 species
GGAGUUAGCCGGUGCUUCUUCUGUGAGUGAUGUCCUUCCUGCCGGCUAUUAACCCGCAGGCCUUCUUCCUCACUGAAAGUGCUUUACAACCCGAAGGCCUUCUUCACACACGCGGCAUGGCUGGAUCAGGGUUGCCCCCAUUGUCCAAUAUUCCCCACUGCUGCCUCCCGUAGGAGUCUGGGCCGUGUCUCAGUCCCAGUGUGGCUGAUCAUCCUCUCAGACCAGCUACGGAUCGUCGCCUUGGUGAGCCGUUACCUCACCAACCAGCUAAUCCGACAUAGGCUCAUCCGAUAGCGCGAGGCCCGAAGGUCCCCCGCUUUCCCCCGUAGGGCGUAUGCGGUAUUAGCCUGGGUUUCCCCAGGUUAUCCCCCACUACCGGGCAGAUUCCUAUGCAUUACUCACCCGUCCGCCGCUCGCCACCAGGGAGCAAGCUCCCCGUGCUGCCGCUCGACUUGCAUGUGUUAGGCCUGCCGCCAGCGUUCAUCUGAGCCAGGAUACAACUCUGA